GAUGAACGCUGGCGGCGUGCCUAAUACAUGCAAGUCGAGCGAACGGACGAGAAGCUUGCUUCUCUGAUGUUAGCGGCGGACGGGUGAGUAACACGUGGAUAACCUACCUAUAAGACUGGGAUAACUUCGGGAAACCGGAGCUAAUACCGGAUGAUAUUUUGAACCGCAUGGUUCACAAGUGAAAGACGGUCUUGCUGUCACUUAUAGAUGGAUCCGCGCUGCAUUAGCUAGUUGUUAAGGUAACGGCUUACCAAGGCAACGAUGCAUAGCCGACCUGAGAGGGUGAUCGGCCACACUGGAACUGAGACACGGUCCAGACUCCUACGGGAGGCAGCAGUAGGGAAUCUUACGCAAUGGGCGAAAGCCUGACGGAGCAACGCCGCGUGAGUGAUGAAGGUCUUCGGAUCGUAAAACUCUGUUAUUAGGGAAGAACAUAUGUGUAAGUAACUGUGCACAUCUUGACGGUACCUAAUCAGAAAGCCACGGCUAACUACGUG
rnacentral:rRNA from 1 species